GUACUGCUGAAGAGUCCCAAACUAGAACAAAACAGAUGUCCAGUAC
rfam:Trichobilharzia regenti genome assembly, scaffold: TRE_scaffold0013928